rnacentral:rRNA from 1 species
UCGGGGAUGCUAUUGCAUACAGGACAUUGUGGUGUUAAGGCAUGUACCUGGGACUGCGAAUCUACCCGAAGUCCAACUCCGAUUGUGGCUUUGGAUAUUGCCCAUAGCGGGUGAGAGGCCCGUACGGGUAGAUUCUUGUUGUUAUGCAGUCCUCAGAUGUGCGUGCUUUCGAGUCGGAUUGCUUGAGAAUGCAGUCCAAAGUGGGUGGUAAACUCCAUCCAAGGCUAAAUACUGGCACGAGUCCGAUAGUAGACAAGUACCGUGAGGGAAAGUUGAAAAGUACUCUGAAGAGAGAGUAAAUAGCACGUGAAGCCGGUUGCAGGGAAGCUGGUGGAGUCAAGCUUCAUGCUUGAGAAAUUUGUGCAAGUAACAUUGUGUUCAUUGUAUGCAUGGUCGGUCAACUUGGAAUAAGUUGGGUGCAUUCGUGUGCUCCGAGUCAUUCUGGGUAGUGUGUUUGGGCUGAUCAUGUAUUACUGUUGCUUGUACCCUAUUUCUCGUGGCAUAAAUCAGGGUCUAUAGCCUUGUUUGUUGACGUGCUGUAUGAUCGUCUAACUGUGCUAUGGCUGACUUUGUGUUUGUCUGGUACAGGAUGGCAGGUUGAGGCUUCAGUCCUUGUGAUUGUUAGUCUCUUAUAGUGGUUUUGACCAGCUGAUGUUCAUGCAGUAUCGUGGCUAUAGUUGUUCCGUUGUUAUACAGUUCUCAUCAACUGUGUAUCAGUAAGAACCCUGAUUCUGAGGUAGA